CAAAUUAAAGCUUUAAAGAAAAGUUUUUCAUUUACAUUGAAAAGAGGUUGUGCAAAUCAAUAUAAUUUGA
rnacentral:tRNA from 1 species